AUUGAACGCUGGCGGCAUGCCUUACACAUGCAAGUCGAACGGCAGCAUGAUCUAGCUUGCUCGAUUGAUGGCGAGUGGCGAACGGGUGAGUAAUACAUCGGAACGUGCCCUGUAGUGGGGGAUAACUAGUCGAAAGAUUAGCUAAUACCGCAUACGACCUGAGGGUGAAAGUGGGGGACCGCAAGGCCUCAUGCUAUAGGAGCGGCCGAUGUCUGAUUAGCUAGUUGGUGAGGUAAAGGCUCACCAAGGCGACGAUCAGUAGCUGGUCUGAGAGGACGAUCAGCCACACUGGGACUGAGACACGGCCCAGACUCCUACGGGAGGCAGCAGUGGGGAAUUUUGGACAAUGGGCGAAAGCCUGAUCCAGCAAUGCCGCGUGUGUGAAGAAGGCCUUCGGGUUGUAAAGCACUUUUGUCCGGAAAGAAAUGGCUCUGGUUAAUACCUGGGGUCGAUGACGGUACCGGAAGAAUAAGAACCGGCUAACUACGUG
rnacentral:rRNA from 1 species